AACGAACGCUGGCGGCAUGCCUAACACAUGCAAGUCGAACGCGACCUUCGGGUCUAGUGGCGCACGGGUGCGUAACGCGUGGGAACCUGCCCUUAGGUUCGGAAUAACUCCCCGAAAGGGGUGCUAAUACCGGAUAAUGUCUUCGGACCAAAGAUUUAUCGCCUUUGGAUGGGCCCGCGUUGGAUUAGCUAGUUGGUAGGGUAAAAGCCUACCAAGGCGACGAUCCAUAGCUGGUCUGAGAGGAUGAUCAGCCACACUGGGACUGAGACACGGCCCAGACUCCUACGGGAGGCAGCAGUGGGGAAUAUUGGACAAUGGGCGAAAGCCUGAUCCAGCAAUGCCGCGUGAGUGAUGAAGGCCUUAGGGUUGUAAAGCUCUUUUACCCGUGAUGAUAAUGACAGUACCGGGAGAAUAAGCGCCGGCUAACUCCGUG
rnacentral:rRNA from 1 species